rnacentral:tRNA from 1 species
GCGGGCGUAGUUUAAUGGUAGAACAGGAGCUUCCCAAGCUUCUAGCGCGAGUUCGAUUCUCGUCGCCCGCU